rnacentral:tRNA from 1 species
UCACCGUCUGUCUCGGUAUGCACCCUUGGUAAGGGUGAGGUCCCCAGUUCGACUCUGGGUAUCAGCACCA